GGUUCUGGAAGUGUAUCAGCCAUGGUGAAUGAUUCUGCACGAGAUGGACUAGGUUCAGAGAACCAUGCAAUGAUGGAACUUCCAGUGGGACUACUUGAUGAGGAUGAAAGGGACAAUGAAAUGAAUAUUUCUAAAAGUGAGGAAUUUAUUGAGGAGCUGCCUGUGGGACUACUUGAUGAGAAGGAAGAAGAACCUGAAGAAGAGAAGGACGAUGAAGCUAAGCCUAAAGAGGUUCUGAUGGCACAAGAAAGGGAAUGUAAUGCAGAUGAGGAAACAAGUUCUUCCACAGAUGAUACUUCAAAAGAAACUCAAUCAGAGCCACAGC
rnacentral:lncRNA from 1 species